UGGGGAAUAUUGGACAAUGGGCGCAAGCCUGAUCCAGCCAUGCCGCGUGAGUGAUGAAGGCCCUAGGGUUGUAAAGCUCUUUCACCGGUGAAGAUAAUGACGGUAACCGGAGAAGAAGCCCCGGCUAACUUCGUGCCAGCAGCCGCGGUAAUACGAAGGGGGCUAGCGUUGUUCGGAUUUACUGGGCGUAAAGCGCACGUAGGCUGACUUUUAAGUCAGGGGUGAAAUCCCGGGGCUCAACCCCGGAACUGCCUUUGAUACUGGAAGUCUUGAGUAUGGUAGAGGUGAGUGGAAUUCCGAGUGUAGAGGUGAAAUUCGUAGAUAUUCGGAGGAACACCAGUGGCGAAGGCGGCUCACUGGACAAUUACUGACGCUGAGGUGCGAAAGCGUGGGGAGCAAACAGG
rnacentral:rRNA from 1 species